CUUGUGGGUAGCGGAGAAAUUCCAAACGAACUUGGAGAUAGCUGGUUCUCUCCGAAAUAGCUUUAGGGCUAGCGUCGAUGUUAAGUCUCUUGGAGGUAGAGCACUGUUUGAUUGAGGGGUCCAUCCCGGAUUACCAAUAUCAGAUAAACUCCGAAUGCCAAUGAGAUAUAAUCGGCAGUCAGACUGCGAGUGCUAAGAUCCGUAGUCGAAAGGGAAACAGCCCAGACCACCAGCUAAGGUCCCAAAAUAUAUGUUAAGUGGAAAAGGAUGUGGGGUUGCACAGACAACUAGGAUGUUAGCUUAGAAGCAGCUAUUCAUUCAAAGAGUGCGUAAUAGCUCACUAGUCGAGUGACCCUGCGCCGAAAAUGUACCGGGGCUAAAACAUAUUACCGAAGCUGUGGAUACCUUUUAGGUAUGGUAGGAGAGCGUUCUAUGUGUGAUGAAGGUGUACCGUGAGGAGCGCUGGAACGCAUAGAAGUGAGAAUGCCGGUAUGAGUAGCGAAAGACAGGUGAGAAUCCUGUCCACCGUAAGACUAAGGUUUCCAGGGGAAGGCUCGUCCUCCCUGGGUUAGUCGGGACCUAAGGAGAGACCGAAAGGUGUAUCCGAUGGACAACAGGUUGAUAUUCCUGUACUAGAGUAUAUAGUGAUGGAGGGACGCAGUAGGCUAACUAAAGCGUGCGAUUGGAAGUGCACGUCUAAGCAGUGAGGUGUGAUGUGAGUCAAAUGCUUACGUCUAUAACAUUGAGCUGUGAUGGGGAGCGAAGUUAAGUAGCGAAGUUAGUGAUGUCACACUGCCAAGAAAAGCUUCUAGCGUUAAUUAUACUCUACCCGUACCGCAAACCGACACAGGUAGUCGAGGCGAGUAGCCUCAGGUGAGCGAGAGAACUCUCGUUAAGGAACUCGGCAAAAUGGCCCCGUAACUUCGGGAGAAGGGGCGCUGGCUUUAAGUCAGCCGCAGUGAAUAGGCCCAAGCAACUGUUUAUCAAAAACACAGCUCUCUGCUAAAUCGUAAGAUGAUGUAUAGGGGGUGACGCCUGCCCGGUGCUGGAAGGUUAAGAGGAGCGCUUAGCAUUAGCGAAGGUGUGAAUUGAAGCCCCAGUAAACGGCGGCCGUAACUAUAACGGUCCUAAGGUAGCGAAAUUCCUUGUCGGGUAAGUUCCGACCCGCACGAAAGGCGUAAUGAUUUGGGCACUGUCUCAACGAGAGACUCGGUGAAAUUUUAGUACCUGUGAAGAUGCAGGUUACCCGCGACAGGACGGAAAGACCCCAUGGAGCUUUACUGCAGUUUGAUAUUGAGUAUCUGUACCACAUGUACAGGAUAGGUAGGAGCCUAAGAAAUCGGGACGCUAGUUUCGGUGGAGGCGUUGUUGGGAUACUACCCUUGUGUUAUGGCUACUCUAACCUAGAUAGGUGAUCCCUAUCGGAGACAGUGUCUGACGGGCAGUUUGACUGGGGCGGUCGCCUCCUAAAAGGUAACGGAGGCGCCCAAAGGUUCCCUCAGAAUGGUUGGAAAUCAUUCGCAGAGUGUAAAGGUAUAAGGGAGCUUGACUGCGAGAGCUACAACUCGAGCAGGGACGAAAGUCGGGCUUAGUGAUCCGGUGGUUCCGCAUGGAAGGGCCAUCGCUCAACGGAUAAAAGCUACCCUGGGGAUAACAGGCUUAUCUCCCCCAAGAGUUCACAUCGACGGGGAGGUUUGGCACCUCGAUGUCGGCUCGUCGCAUCCUGGGGCUGUAGUCGGUCCCAAGGGUUGGGCUGUUCGCCCAUUAAAGCGGCACGCGAGCUGGGUUCAGAACGUCGUGAGACAGUUCGGUCCCUAUCCGUCGCGGGCGUAGGAAAUUUGAGAGGAUCUGCUCCUAGUACGAGAGGACCAGAGUGGACUUACCGCUGGUGUACCAGUUGUCUUGCCAAAGGCAUCGCUGGGUAGCUAUGUAGGGAAGGGAUAAACGCUGAAAGCAUCUAAGUGUGAAGCCCACCUCAAGAUGAGAUUUCCCAUGAUUUUAUAUCAGUAAGAGCCCUGAGAGAUGAUCAGGUAGAUAGGUUAGAAGUGGAAGUGUGGUGACACAUGUAGCGGACUAAUACUAAUAGCUCGAGGACUUAUCCAA
rnacentral:rRNA from 1 species